UGGUAGAUGCAGCCGGCACGCACCUCUCCUCUGACGGGAACCGAAGGAGCCGGUAGGUUUUCACACUUGCAGCAGAUCCGCUAAGAGAACGCGGGAUUCAGCCGAGAAGCCACGGGGAGCCCGAGGAGCGGAGCAGAGGCACCCAGGCAGCCUGCGCGGAGAAAUUGGAUCGGCGGGGACGGCCUGCAGCUCCCGCGCGCGGGGAAAGGGAAGAAGUCCUCCCCUACAAAGCAAAUUCACAAACUUGGAAGAAGCAAUUUACACAGGAUGUGCAGAUCUCAAUGGAAGGACACGGGAAACGUGAAAAAGCAAGGAAGUGGGACGCCUCCAAAGGAACCCAGUAAUUCUCCAGCAACAGAUCCCCAUCCAAAAGAAAUUCAAGAAAUGUCAUAUAGAGAAUUGUGGAAACUGAUUUUAACCAAGAUUAGAGGGAUUCAAGAGACUUCUGAAAAAGAAAGUAAGGAAAUGUCAACAGCAAUUCUGGAUAUGGUUGAGGUAUUUACCAACCAGAUACAGAGUUUUCCAGAGCACAUGGCAAAUGUGGAACUGAAGAAAUCACUGGAUGAAAUACAAAGUAUACUCGAAAGCUUCAAUGAUAGACUAGAUCAAGCAGAAAAAAAACUCUCAAAACUUAAAAUCUGAAGGCUUUUACUCAAUUCAAAUAUUUAAUGGGUUGUACUCUGGCCAUUCAGGUGAACAAAAUCUCCUGGGUGACAGGGCGAGACUCUGUCUCAA
rnacentral:lncRNA from 1 species